rnacentral:rRNA from 1 species
UACGAAGGGGGCUAGCGUUGCUCGGAAUCACUGGGCGUAAAGGGUGCGUAGGCGGGUUUUUAAGUCAGGGGUGAAAUCCUGGAGCUCAACUCCAGAACUGCCUUUGAUACUGAAGAUCUUGAGUCCGGGAGAGGUGAGUGGAACUGCGAGUGUAGAGGUGAAAUUCGUAGAUAUUCGCAAGAACACCAGUGGCGAAGGCGGCUCACUGGACCGGUACUGACGCUGAGGCACGAAAGCGUGGGGAGCAAACAGG